rnacentral:rRNA from 1 species
GAUGAACGCUGGCGGCGUGCCUAAUACAUGCAAGUCGAGCGAACGGACGAGAAGCUUGCUUCUCUGAUGUUAGCGGCGGACGGGUGAGUAACACGUGGAUAACCUACCUAUAUGACGGGGAUAACUUCGGGAAAGCGGAGCUAAUACCGGAUAAUAUCUUGAACCGCAUGGUUCAAAAGUGAAAGACGGUCUUGCUGUCACUUAUAGAGGGAUCCGCGCUGCAUUAGCUAGUUGGUAAGGUAACGGCUUACCAAGGCAACGAUGCAUAGCCGACCUGAGAGGGUGAUCGGCCACACUAGAGCUGGAACACGGUCCAGACUCCUGAGGGAGGCAGCAGUCGGGAACCUUACGCAAUGGGCGAAAGCCUGACGGAGCAACGCCGCGUGAGUGAUGAAGGUCUUCGGAUCGUAAAACUCUCUUAUUAGGGAAGAACAUAUGUGUAAGUAGCUGUGCACAUCUUGACGGUAACUAGUCAGAAAGCCACGGCUAACUACGUG